CAGUGCCAGCUCGUCCUCCGGGGAUGGUGGGGACGACUGUUGGGACCGCCUCUGCUAAAGAGGAGGAAGGAAUGGGCAACGGUAGGUCAGCAUGCCCCGAAUUAUCUGGGCUACACGCGGGCUACAAUGGGUGGGACAAUGGGUAUCGACACCGAAAGGUGAAGGGCAAUCUCCUAAACCCAUCCGUAGUUCGGAUUGUGGCUGCAACUCGCCCACAUGAAGCUGGAAUCUGUAGUAAUCGUGUCUCAAAAUGGCACGGUGAAUAUGUCCCUGCUCCUU
rnacentral:rRNA from 1 species